CCCAACUCCUACGGGAGGCAGCAGUGAGGAAUAUUGGUCAAUGGACGCAAGUCUGAACCAGCCAUGCCGCGUGCAGGAAGACGGCUCUAUGAGUUGUAAACUGCUUUUGUACGAGGGUAAACGCAGAUACGUGUAUCUGUCUGAAAGUAUCGUACGAAUAAGGAUCGGCUAACUCCGUGCCAGCAGCCGCGGUAAUACGGAGGAUGCGAGCGUUAUCCGGAUUUAUUGGGUUUAAAGGGUGCGCAGGCGGUCUGUUAAGUCAGCGGUCAAAGCCCGGGGCUCAACCCGGUCGUGCCGUUGAAACUGACGCGCUUGAGUGAGUGAGAAGUAAGCGGAAUGCGUGGUGUAGCGGUGAAAUGCAUAGAUAUCACGCAGAACGCCGAUUGCGAAGGCAGCUUACC
rnacentral:rRNA from 1 species